rnacentral:rRNA from 1 species
CCCUUCGGGGAAUUCCGAGACAGGUGCUGCAUGGCUGUCGUCAGCUCGCGCCGUGAGGUGUGGGUUAAGUCCCGCAACGAGCGCAACCCUAUUGCCAGUUGCUACCAGGUAAUGCUGGGCACUCUGGUGAGACUGCCCCGGUUAACGGGGAGGAAGGUGGGGACGACGUCAAGUCAUCAUGGCCCUUACGCCUAGGGCUACACACGUACUACAAUGGCGCAUACAAAGGGCAGCGAUACCGCGAGGUGGAGCCAAUCCCAAAAAGUGCGUCCCAGUCCGGAUUGCAGUCUGCAACUCGACUGCACGAAGUUGGAAUCGCUAGUAAUUCGAGAUCAGCAUGCUCGGGUGAAUGCGUUCCCGGGCCUU